UGGGGAAUAUUGCACAAUGGGCGGAAGCCUGAUGCAGCGACGCCGCGUGGGGGAUGAAGGCCUUCGGGUUGUAAACUCCUUUCGACAGGGACGAAGCUUUUGUGACGGUACCUGUAUAAGAAGCACCGGCUAACUACGUGCCAGCAGCCGCGGUAAUACGUAGGGUGCGAGCGUUGUCCGGAAUUACUGGUCGUAAAGAGCUCGUAGGUGGUUUGUCGCGUCGUCUGUGAAAUUCCGGGGCUUAACUCCGGGCGUGCAGGCGAUACGGGCUGACUUGAGUGCUGUAGGAGAGACUGGAAUUCCUGGUGUAGCGGUGAAAUGCGCAGAUAUCAGGAGGAACACCGAUGGCGAAGGCAGGUCUCUGGGCAGUAACUGACGCUGAGGAGCGAAAGCAUGGGUAGCGAACAGG
rnacentral:rRNA from 1 species